UAAACUAGGAUUAGAUACCCUAUUAUUUAAAAUGUAAUUUAAUCACUAAGGUAGUAAUAGUUAUGUUCUUGAAACUUAAAAAAUUUGGCGGUAUUUUAGUCUAUUCAGAGGAGCCUGUCCUGUAAUCGAUAAUCCACGAUGUACCUCGCUUAAGUUUGUUUUUCAGUUUAUAUACCGUCGUUAUCAGAAUAUUUUAUUAGAAUAACAAUUUUCUAUAAUUUUUAUAAGAAUUUAUAUCAGAUCAAGGUGUAGCUUAUAUUUAAGUAGAGAUGGGCUACAAUAAAUUUAUUUAAACGGAUCUAAUUUUGAAAUGUUUAGUGAAGGUGGAUUUGAUAGUAAAAUUUUAAAGAUUGUUGAUUUGAUUUUAGCUCUAAAAUAUGCACACAUCGCCCGUCGCUCUUGCUAUUAAGGUAAGAUAAGUCGUAACAUAGUA
rnacentral:rRNA from 1 species